CAAAAUUUAGUUUAAUAAAACAUUUCGCUUACACCGAAAAAUUCUCUGUUAAAAUCAGACCAUUUUGA
rnacentral:tRNA from 1 species